rnacentral:rRNA from 1 species
UACGUAGGUGGCAAGCGUUGUCCGGAAUUAUUGGGCGUAAAGCGCGCGCAGGCGGUCCCUUAAGUCUGAUGUGAAAUCCCACGGCUCAACCGUGGAAGGUCAUUGGAAACUGGGGGACUUGAGUACAGAAGAGGAAAGCGGAAUUCCAAGUGUAGCGGUGAAAUGCGUAGAGAUUUGGAGGAACACCAGUGGCGAAGGCGGCUUUCUGGUCUGAACUGACGCUGAG